UCUUCCCGUCGCCGGAGCUGCGUCUCCGUCUCCUUCCCUCCGCCGGCGCUGCCCCUGCUAAACCCCCUCCCUCUUAUGCGCCUUCUUCUCCUUCCUAAGACAUGUGGCUUUCCUCUUCGGCUGGAGCGGUCCCAUGGAGGAGAUCAGGCCGAUGGGGAGCAGAGGGAGGACACAACUGAGCUGGAUGUGGAGAGAGGGAGGCGGCGGGGCUGGGGAUAUGGUCAGUGGCACAAAGAUUUGGGGAGGUGGUGCCCGCAGGAGAAAUCCCGAUCUUCCUAGAGCGCGAGGCCUCCGACGGCAGCAUUCUUCAGAUUGACCCCAUCUGGGUUCAUCUCCGGCCUCCGCGUCCAGCGUCAACAAGCCUGAAUUUCGUGGUUUCUCUCUCUAGCGAGUAUACAUACAGAGGAAGGGUUUCUAUGUUUGCCCCGGUGGUGGAGGGCUUCCAGUGCGAGGGGGACGGCACAAAAAAUGCAGAGCCGUCAGGCCCGGGCGGUGCGCUAUGGCUAAUGGUGGGUGCUGGAAGGACACAAGGCACGGCAAGACCUCCGUCUGCAUGGAUUCAGAUGGUACAUGGUAUUGCAAUGACUACUGACAAAGAAUGAUCGGGCUGGCAUGCAACUGAUGGUUUUGCAACUCAGCCUUAGUGCCAAAGAAAGUGUCAUUUCGAAGCAUAUGUUGUGUUAACACAGGAGAAGUAAUCUCAUGGAAUUAAUUGCCUCACUUUUUGUUGGAUUUGGUCGCAAUGUAAGCAAUCUGACUAAACUCAUUAGCGCAUGUUCCUAUUGGACUCCAAUCUCAUAUAUAUUCUUUUUCAGACUUGGCUAACUACACUCAAGAAGAAAUUCUAGCUGAUGUGUUCUUUUUGGUCACAACGAUGGGCAAUCUCUGGUAUUUAUUAUCCUUUUUUUUUUGGCUCUGGUUCUUACCUGUUUUUUCUUUGCAUUUGUGAACAAGGGGCACUCUUACUUGUGAGAAGAUGGGUUAUGAUCUUUGCGAUGUCAUCAUUUCAUUGACAAAUUUAUUGAUCUGGUCCGGCUGGCUGAUCUGCUUCGCGGGCAUUGGUUGGAUUGGUCUUGGUUGGUCUCGUCCAACGGCAUCUGGAUUCUAUUUGAUCUUGUGCGGUUUUCUGGUCUGGAUUUGUUCUCUUAAAGUUUUUGAUUCAUCUUCUCUGGGCCCCUUCUUUCAUUUUCGCAUACUUAGUUUGCUGCUUGGUCCAUGCUGUGGUUUAGACUAUUUUGUUUCCAUUUACCUAUGUUAAUUAGAUUUCAUUGUGGUUGUAGUUCCUGUAGUUAAACAAAUUUAUUGUUAUUCCUCUACAUGCUUUUGUGGUUUAGGGCCAGCGUCUUGGAAGAAAAGAAAUAAUAUUGUGAUAUUUCUCUAACCGAUUGAUGUUCCCGUGGCUAAAUAAAUUUAUGUUAUCCCUCUACAUGCUUAAUGCCUUAGGUCUAUCUUUCUAGGGAAGAAAUGAAAGAACACUAUUUAUCUGUUCAUGAGUAUCAUUAUGAUGUCAAAGAAAUGCCACUUGCACCCUGAAAGAAAGAACAUUGUUUAUCUUCCUAGGUAAAUGCAUUUUUUGUUCAGCUGAAAACAAAUUGCUAACUGCAAAGAAAAGUAUCAUCACACUUCAAUAGAGGAGAAUAAAUGUAAUUUUUAACCAUCCAGACCAGCUUCAGUGAUGUUGCCUCCUAUUUUUUUUGUUUUUAAAUUGAUUUACUCCCUCACUUUCCUUUGCCGACUUAAACUGUAUUUUUAAUUUCCAAUCACUGAAGCUGCAGCCUUUUAAGUUAUAGGUUUUAGGUCACUGCAGGAAAUCCCGUAAGCCCCUCUAAACCCAUGUGAAAUUCAUGUAAUCUGAUCUUGUAGUGAGGUCAUGGUGGUAUCCAUGAUGAGUGUCGCCUCAAUUCACUACAGGUUUUGAAGGAUCGCAUAGACAAUAUUUAUAAUAUGCUUGCUGGCUAUAACGUUGUUAGGGACGCAUACGUACUUUGUCCACUAGGGAAUUGGCAAUUCAUUAACUGCUCCAUGCCUUUUGUUCUUAUAUUGAGCUGUAGGUUCAUGAUUGUUGCUGAGGGUGCCCACGCUUCAGCCGUUGGCUCUCCUGGAGUCCCUGUCAUCACGUCUCAGUACAUGCAGUUCAUGAAAGGUAAUACUGAAGCCUGCAAAUAUUUUGUAGUUUUUUUUUAUUUCCUUCUUGCACUUAAUGUAUGUAUGUACGUUCAUUUUUUUUUCCUUCUUGCACUUAAUGUCUGUAUGUACGUUCAUGCAACAUCUCUUUCUAUGGAUUACAUGUAAAUUUGCAAAGUUCGAUUAUCUGUCAAAUUCUAUGAAGAAAUUACCGAGGAGCUGCACCCUCUGCCGGAUUACAGGAGCCAUUCCAUGCUGAUUCAAAUAUGCAAUACAUUACCUUUCCUUGAUACUUCAGGCCUAGCGUUUCUGUCCUCCAUUUGCUCUGUCGUCUGUGUCUGAUGCGCCUUUCGUUGGUGUACACCACCAGCUCGAUGUGUGCUGAUUAAUUAGUUCAGGCAUCGUUUCAACCUUGUAUGUAAAGCUACCUGUAUAAGCCAAUUGUGUUUCAAUCAAGCAAAAUCAAAUGUACACCAUGAUUUCUUGUAACAUUGUUGUAAACAAGUUUUGUCAAGUUAUAGAUUAUGGAUAUUGGUGAGAG